GCAGCCGUGGCCGAGUGGUUAAGGCGAUGGACUCGAAAUUCAUUGGGGUCUCCCCGCACAGGUUCGAAUCCUGUCGACUGCG
rnacentral:tRNA from 1 species